GGACAGCUGGCCCAGGCUGAACAAGGGGAUGUCCCAUACCGUGCGGCAUCAACAGCUGGGAGAGAUGGUAAAGGGGUACUGCUGUUGCUGAGUGAGUUACAGUGGACUUUGAAUGCAACAAAAGAACAAAUGAACUCCAUAGCUCUAAGAGCCCUUCAAAACUGAAUGGAUUCUGUCACAAACAAGCUGUCGUGCCUGAGAGUGAUGAACUAGCUGUCAUGAGGUCUAAAGGGUUUAUGUUCCCCCUCACCAACUGCCUUCUUCAGCACCAGUGUCCUCCAGGACUGGAAAAACGUGGCUGGCCAGACCCAGUUCCUGGGUCAAGCUACUGUAUUUUGGUGCUGGAGAGGAAGAGAUUUCCAGUGAAACAGUUAAAGGUAUCAAAAUGUCAACAGAUGUCAAAAGGAAUGGGUCCUGAAAUACCACAGAGUAGCUCUACACACAGCUUCCUGUUCAGCUUGGCCAGUCUUCUGCACCAGCUCAUCUUUUGGCAUAGGGAGACAGCCUGCUCCUGUGCCUUUAGGAUUUCUUUCUUCAAGAGUGCCCAGCCUUCCUGGACUCCUUUGCCUUUCAGAUCUGUUUCCCAAGGAACUCUGCCAAACCAGUCUCUUAAACAAGCUCAGGUUUGCCUUCUAGAAGUCCAGGGUGGAAGUUCUGGUUAGUCUCCAUCCUCACUCUUCCAAGAAUCAAAAACUAUUUUUAUGAUUACCAUGCCCAAGACAGCCUCCAACCUUCACAUCACCCACAAGAUCUUCUCUACUGGUGAGCAGAAGGUCCAGUGGGCACCGUCCCUAGUUGGCUUAGUCACCAGCUGUGUCAGGAAGUUAUCUGCCACACACAUUAGAAACUUCCUAGACUGUUUCCUCUCCUAAUUGUCUUUAGGCACCCAAGUGUCUUCACAAAUUUGACCUCUCACGUUAAAUUCACACCAUUCGUUCUCUGCUGACCUUGGGUAAAUUCAAGGAAAUCUAGGUUUUUAUUAGUCACUUUUUGAUUGCAUCACAGGAUAUUACAUGAUUUAAUUAUGUUAUUCUUUCAUUGUUUUUCAUAAAAUGCUUAGAGUUUCUCAGAUGAUUGUUGCUGAAAAAAUAGGAUUUUUUUUUCAUAUCGUAACAGGGUUGUAAGCAUUUAUGUAAGGUAAAGGAGAGGUGGAUAAGGAUAUCUGUUUUUUUGUUUGUUUGUUUGUUUUUUGAGGAUAUCUAAUUAAUAGCUACUUAUAAAAUAAAUUAACAACAACAACAAAGACAGGAGACCAGAAAAGUAAUAAAUUAAACAACAAGGUAUGCAAAACCUAAUGAGGGAUAAUAAAGACAAUAAAAAAAAUUAAAACUCUUAGGUCACUGAUUGACGGAUUCAAAAGAGUAAGGAUCUGCCACUGGUAACACCUGGAAAUAAAAGAAUUUAGAGAACAUAAAGCUUCUCCUGCAAACCUGUAAUUAAUGUUGCACAAACAAACAAGGUGGAAAGAAUUAGGAAGAUAGUCCUCCUUUUGUACAGAGUGCUAAUAAUAAGAUCAAUCUAACAGAUUGUUGCCAGCAAAGCCUUCUUAAACAAUUUAAAGAGGAUGCAGAUAAAGUAGACGUGCAGGAAAAGCUAUAGAAGACAGUUCAAGGGCUCAGUAUACAUAAGAAACAUCACUUUGUGACAUCAUUGCAUGAAGUCCUAAGUGUUUCUGGAUACCCAACAUACCUUUAAAUGUACAUCUCAAACAUGUGAAGAAGAAAGAAAUAUUCUUUGAUUAUUCCAAGUUUAUAUUUUCUAUAAUACCUUAAUCUUAAUCACAAACUAAACUCAGUAAAAAUGUAGUUUUGAAUGUAAUUCUUCAGAUUUUACAGAAACAAAUUACAAACACAGUUCACCAUAUGAAAUUAGUAUUCACAUAGUUCAUCUACCAGAUUCAAAGAUCUUGAUUUAUGAUACAGAUUUUUGUUUCUUGAGCUUCUGAAGUGAUUGACAUAAAUAGCUAUCAUCCUUCGGAUGAACAAGUCAAUAAAAAGGAUAAGAUACAUACUAUCUGCAUUCCACAGAUUAUUCUUUUGGCAGGGGACUUAAGACCUUUGGUUCUGUUUUAGCUGUUUCAUUCUACCAUGCUCAGCCCCAUACUUUUUGCACAUUUUCUUUUACUCCAUGAAUUAUCUAAAUUGGGUCUUCCUUUUGUGAAAAAUUUAUGAAUAUGAUAUUCAGUUCUAUUGCUGGUUAAAGGUUGCAACUUUAAUAUCCAGCAUCAACAAUUCAGUCCCCAAAGAGAUCGUCGGCUCAAGAAAUUUGUCAUUGUAACCUUUUUAAUAUCUACUUUUUUCAUUCAUAAAAUAGCUGAAACCAGAAGACUUCUGGCAAUCAGCACCAAAGAGAUAACAAUUAUACAGAAAGAGACAAAUAUAUAUAUAUAUUAAGAAUCUAAAUAGGAAAUAUUGAGGAUAAAGAACUGCACAAUCAAGAUGUAUUAUGUAUGGACAUAAUACAGUUCUGUGAAAUACAUCGCCAAUGAUUGUACACAAAAUCAAACAUACUUCCUAGUUAAAAAAAAAAAAAAGUAAAUUAGAAACAGAAAAGUUAGAUUGAUGUCAGGCUGAUUCAACAUUGGAAAGGCAGGCAAGUUUUUGACGAUUACUGAGAAUAAGGUGGAACAAGAACAAUAAAUCCCAAGUGAUACUACUGGGAGAUCAAAAACUACCCCUUGAGUAAAGAGUUAUAAUCUGUCAUACAGCAGAUUUUUGUUAAUAUGACUGAAGCUGAACAGUGUUAGUAAGUAGACAAUGAAAGAAUGUGAAAAUAUAACAAAGAAAACCCUUGAGAAAAGAAUUGUACAUGUUGUAGUAUUCAGUGUAAAUCAAAUUAAGGUGAAAACAGUGGAUUACAUAGUUUUAGGAGCUGGUGUGUAAUAGGAGAAAAGCAGAGAGCAAAAUAACCAUUAUUUUUGCUGAAUUAUCUUAUUACUUGGGGGAGAAGACUAUCUAUUUGGACACUAACAUGUAAGUCAAUGCAUUGCUGAAGUAAUUUUUAAUUUGCUUUUCCAUAAACACGUAGUUGAUCAGGGGAAAGUAAAUCUCAUGGUUUAAGGUUUAGCCCCACUGAAAAACUAUGUGAUGGGUCAUGAUAACGGUUUUUAAAAGAUUUAUUUGCAGCAACAUGCAGAAAAUGAACUGACUACUGAAUAAAUCUCAUAUUGUCAUUGAAGUUGAGGUUUCUGAACAGGUAAAUUAAAAAGACAAUUGAGGAAAAGGAGAAUGAGGAAUAAGUUGGGCUCUAAAGAAAAAAAAUAUUUCAAAACAUGUUUCUCUUGGAAUGGUUCCCUUUUCUUAAAGAUGAGGCUGACAGGACAGCUGGAUAAACUCAGCUGCAGGAAUCUCGUAGUUACAGAGUUAUAGACAGAAAACAGUUAUUUACUGUGAGGGUGAUAGAGCACUGGAACAGGCUGCACAGAGAAACCGUGGAGUUUCCUACUCUAGAGAUAUUCAAAACCUGUCGGGAUGCCAUCCUGCACAAUGUGCUCUAGGUGAUCCUGCUUGGAAGGAGGAUGAUCUUCAGAUGAUCUUCAGAGGUCCCUGCCAACCUCAACCUGUGAUUCUGUAAUUCUUUCAUCAGAGCAGAUAUGCUCUCUAGCCAUUGCAGAAGAAAAGACAAUGUAAGCCCACUUACAUCUGCACAGCACAGCAGUCAGUGAAGAGAUGCGUCUUAUAAUGCAUUGAUAAAACAAUAAAUGUCUCUAUAUUUGGACAAGUUGAACAGUACAGUCUUAAUAUUUCCUUUUGAUUUAUUGGGGAUAUUCUUUCUUGUAUACUCCAUUCCAGUCUCUAAGAAUUCAUUCAAUUUCUUGUCAAAUUCACAACUUCUAUUGAUACAUCCAUUAUUUAAUAAGCUUUUUUUUCAUCCAGCUUCCCAUGGAGUAUAUUUAACCACUUACUUUUAUCAUUUAUCUGCCAUUGUUUUCUGUUUGUUGUUGUUGUUGUUGUUGGUUGAUUGGUUGUUUUCAAUAUUGAGUUUAUUAUUAUUAUUUUUAGCUUUAUUUAUGCCAACUUCUAGUUAACAUUUUAUGCUGACUUUUUCUUUCAUGUAUAGCCUGUAUUACAUCCAUUAUCUGACAACAUGCUCAGAACACAAGAUGAUACCUGCAUUGCUUAUUAUGGUUAAUUUCAAAGCAGUUCCCAUCAGUUUUUCUAAACUAUAUGAAGAAAAAUUGCUCUCUCUUCUGCUUCCAGAAAAAGAACACACCGUAUAAUUGCUUGCCUCUUGUAUUUAUCAUGCAUUUAUACUAUUCCUAAGAAGUGUAACACAAGAUUUGAUCUUAUUGAGAAGUUUAGGCUGUGUUUAAUAUGGUCCACAAGUGACUAUUAAUCUUAUAGAGUACUAAAUUGUUCUUGGGGUUGUAGUGAGCAUUAGAAAACACAUAAUUGCAUAACAGAAUGUAAGAACUAAAAGAAGGAAAGACAAGAGGAUGACGAGCAGGCUGCAAUGCAAAACCAGAAGGGAUCUGCUGAAUCAUCAGGUGGGGUCCCCAACUCCAGCAGGCAAAUCUGUUAUGUAGUGACUUUCAUUAAUUUGCCAGGAUCUGCCUUCAUAUUCCAGUUCCUUCUGCUGAAAGACUCUCCUGGAAUCUUGUUCCACUAGUACUUAGAAAUCAGCUUCUAAUUUCCAGUCAAAAGGUGAAUAUGGACAGUUAUCCCCAUUAUUUGGUGUCAACAGUUGUUUUUUAACAUAUGUUGUGACUCGG